ACCUGGUUGGCUCAGUUGGUGGAGUAUGGGACUCCCCAUCUCAGGGUUGUGAGUUCGAGCCCCACACUGGGUA
rnacentral:tRNA from 2 species